GACAGAGGGGGCAAGCGUUGCUCGGAAUCACUGGGCGUAAAGGGCGCGUAGGCGGGAUGGCAAGUCAGUCGUGAAAUCUCUCGGCUCAACCGAGAAACGUCGGCUGAUACUGCCGUUCUUGAGGGAUGCAGAGGAGACUGGAAUUCCCGGUGUAGCGGUGAAAUGUGUAGAGAUCGGGAGGAACACCGGUGGCGAAGGCGGAUCUCUGGGCCUUACCUGACGCUCAGGCGCGAAAGCUAGGGGAGCGAACAGG
rnacentral:rRNA from 1 species